CGUGUAACUACGGUUCGACAAAGCAGUUAAAAUCUGCGUAAAAGGAAGUUCAAAUGGCACAGCUGCAUAAGCUAAUAUGUUUUUAUAUCUGUUUUGCAUUUGUUAACACUAUCGGGUAGGUUUAGGGCUGGAUUUGGUGUAGGGCAUAUUUCCAACACGAUAGAGCAUUAACUUUUAGCGACAGUCCCCGGAUAUUUGAAUUCUGAACCGCCGCAAUACGUAUCUGAAGCAACGUAAUGAAAAAACAGCAAUACGUACCAAUAUCUACGUAAUAAAAACGUGCCAGGGUUCACAUAUUGAACCUGUGUUUUAGCGCCACUCAGUGGACAUUUCUAUUUGAAACUGCGGCGUAACGUCAAAGUGCACAGAGGUACAAAGUAAAAAGUUCUGAAUGUUCAAUAGAAUAGCAAACAAGUGGAUUUCUUGGAAGGAAAUGCUUUUGAAUGAAUUUACUUCUGUGUCAGACCAGAGAAAUGAAAGAAACACAGUGCCUCUCAUUCUGUUGCUGUGACAUCCAUGAGAGGUUAUGUAGCGCUGGGAAAGUGUGGACCGUGGGGAUUGACCUGUCACAGAUUCGCUUGGUUUAAUGUGUGUGAUCUUGUUUAGUCCCCUGACUCCCUCCAUUGUGAGACGAAUCCCAGGGCAUCAUUGUCCAUGAGCUGUCCGACAAGAAAACGGUUUUAUUGCAGCUGGAUUUGCUAUAUAUUUAUAUAUCUCCCCAUUUUUGGCAGACAUCCCAAUCCUUUUUGUCAACAGUAGGAUAUUGCAGUGCA